UAGCCCUUACCCCACCAAUUAAUAGUAUUAUUCUGUUAGAGUGGGGGAAGGUACUGC
rnacentral:pre_miRNA from 1 species